rnacentral:lncRNA from 1 species
UUCUGAGAUGGGAAGAAACCUACAUAUUAUCCAGAAGGAUCCCCAGGCCCUUUCUGAUAUGGAGAGCAGUGAAGUCCAUGCUAAAUCCAGGCACCUCUUGAGUGCAGGUCCUGGAGGAGCUUCCAAAGGGAAGACAACUCUGAAAGGAAUCAGAAGCUCUGUUUGGAUGGACACGUGGGGGUGAUCUGGGACAUAGAAACCUGGAAAAGCUGAUGAAAGCUGAUUUUCCCUUGAAGAAGACAUUUGGAAUGAAGCAAUGUGACCUUUAAUCACCCUCAGACCUCUUUUUGUUCUUGUUCCAGGACAUUCUGUAAAAGGUUUUGCUUCACUUGGAUAGGAACCAAGCCAGCCACAUGGAAAGAAAAAUAACUUG